CGGCCGUGCGUUCGCGUUAGAGGCGGGUUUUUGUGUUUCAUUUAAUCGGGGGUUUUGUUGCGUUUUUUUUGUUGCGUAACGUUUCGUUUUUGUUUUUGUUUUUUUUUUUUUUCUUUAGGAUUUUCAUGGCGCCCGUCGAGUUCUCCAGCGAUGGCGGUGGCGGCGACGGCGACGGCGAUGGCGACAGCGGUGACGGCCACGGCGACGGUGUCAGCGACGAUGGUGGCCACGACGGCGGCGGGGGGGCGAGGAGUCACGUGUGGGAGGCAGAAUAAAUAGAAAGAAGAACAACACUCGGUGAAGCUCAAGCGCAAAUGCCGCAAUGCCGAAGCUUCGAGUUAGUUUAAUCAGUUGCUCGAGAUGCAAGGUAGUUUCGUCAGCUUCUCGAGGUGCAACGCGAAGGAAGAACGUCGAUUUCCCUCCUCCUCGUCGUUCGACGCUUGCUCGACGCUGCAUUUUUCUCGAGUCAACAAGGUGGUCUCUA